UCUUCUAAACUCUACCUACCUGCUCUCUGGACCCUGCACCCCGGAUGUCCCACAGCACCUCACGUUGGGGCUAGUGGAGCACAGCCAGGGGAGGACAGGAGGAGGGUAUUCUCUGGAGACAGGUGUGCCCCCCUACUGACAGACCCUGCUCAGCAGAACAGAAGCCCUUCAGCGAAUGAGACCUACCCUCUGCGGAAGGCUGGUUAGGAAGCAUCCAUGUCUACUUCAGCGUCUCACCUCCCUGUCACAAACAGAUCACCACAGUUUUCCUCCAGCCUCAUGCUGUCCUCCCCCUAGAGGAAUGUGGGUACAUGGAAUGUUCUCCACCUCCAUGCAUGUCCAGUGACGUUUUGGAUCAGCGUGUCAGGGACGCUGUCAGGCGUGCCUGCUUGCACUCAUCCAGCCCUGGCUGGAUGUGAUUCUACGAGCAGAGCAAGACCAGCAUGUUCUGUCCUCCAGUUAUCACAGCAGUUACUCUGGCAACCUGCAGGCCCUCCCUGAGGUGUCUGACGGCUGAAGCAGGGUCCAGUGGGAUGGAAUGAAGGAUGGGCACCCUGGAAGACAGCCCAUGGAGGGGCCCUUUGGGUCCCCUGCUGCCCUGGGCACCUGCGAAGAGAGAAGCUGAGCCACCCUGCCUGAGGCAGUAGGCAGUAAGAGCUGAAGGGAGCAGGAGGUUAGGGCCCAGCGGGAAGUGAGAGCAGUGGGGCCAGCACCAGGGUAAGCUGAAUAAAGCUCUCGCCUGAGGCGCAGAAUUUAAAGAUUUGCCAAAAAACUCAGCAGCCAAGAAAUUUAAUACUUCCAGCAAAUCAAAGCAAAACUGUCCAUGAUAAACAAGACUGGAGUUAGGGUAAGGCAAGUGAGGCCAAUACAAGGCCCGCAAAUCCAGUGUUGUAUCUUGUCUUUAUUAAAGGUUUGAUUUUGUUGUA